rnacentral:lncRNA from 13 species
GAGAUGGCGCUGUGGAACAAGAUGAAACGUCUUUGAACAAGCAAACACUGGAGAGCCAGUGGUCGAGAACGCAAAAUGUGGUCGAGCGAGCAGAGGACGGUUUCCUUCGAGCGCACAGGCAGCGGGAGCGCGCACAUUGAACACGUUGCAGUGGAAACCGGAUUUUAACGGUGAAAGGCAAGGGGAUGGUGAAGUAGGAACGAUGUUUGACAAUAAGAAGGUAAGUGCAAACGUUUUUCAGUAGAGAACCUAACAAUGAUUCAAAAUUGAAAUGCAAGUAGUUGGCUAGUUAUUUGGUCUUCUGUUAUUAAAGAAGGCUAUUGAUUAGGCAGCCGAUGUUAGCGUCAGGUAGCAGCUCGCUAACAUAGUUAACGUUAAACCACAUAAAUUACUAGUAUCUUUGGAUUUUACUAAGAGUAUUGUAGCUAGCGAGCUACGUUAACGAGGGGUUAGUAUGGGAGGAGAAAUGUGAAGACCUGCAUGACUGGGAGGGAGAGGCAGGGAAGACCCUCACUGCAUCCUUUUUUGUUUUUUAUUUUACCACACCAGGUAAGUUGACUGAGAACACAUUCUAAUUUACAGCAAUGACAUGGGGAAUAGUUACAGGGGAGAUGAAUGAGCCAAUUGUAAGCUGGGUAUGAUUAGGUUACCGUGAUGGUAUGAGGGCCAAAUUGGGAAUUUAGCCAGGACUCCAGGGUAAACAUCCCUACUCUUAUGAUAAGUGCCAUGGGCUCUUUAGUGACCACAGGGAGUCAGGACACCCGUUUAACGUCCCAUCCGAAAGACGGCACGCUACACAAGGCAAUGUCCCCAAU